CACAGGGAGGUAGUGACAAAAAAUAACGAUGUGAGGCCAUUCAGGCGUCACAAUCGCAAUGAAGCGAAUUUAAACCACUUCAUGAGUAACGAUUGGAGGGCAAGUCUGGUGCCAGCAGCCGCGGUAAUUCCAGCUCCAAUAGCGUAUAUUAAAGUUGUUGCAGUUAAAAAGCUCGUAGUUGACUCUCGGACGAGGGCAGCUGGUCCGGCCUCUGGUCGGUACUGGCUGGACCGAGUCUACAUACACAACACAGUGCGCGGUGUCACAGCCGCGUGCGGUUGCUUGGGGAGGGUCGGUGCCCUUUACUGGGUGCCGGCCACGCGAACCAAGAAGAUUACUUUGAGUAAAGUAGAGUGUUCAAAGCAGGCAUGUGCAGCUUGAAUACCUUAGCAUGGAAUAAUAAGAUAGACGCGUUGGUUCUCUAUUUUAUUGGUUUCAAGG
rnacentral:rRNA from 1 species